GGGACAGGUCCUUCCUAAACUGGUUGAGCUGAGCUGAUUUUGUUUGUUGGUUUAUCCUGGUUGCCCUGGAACUCACUCUCUAGAUCAGGCUGGCCUUGAACUCAGGGAAAGGUGUGCGCCACCACACCGAACAUGACUUUAUUUUAUUGUCUUGAAACUUGUAGCCCGGGAUGGGCUUGACGACUAAUCCUUUCAAGGGCUGAGAUUACACUGUGCACCACUCUGCCCAGUUUUAUGCAGUGUUAGUGAGAAUGCUACCAACCGAGUCAAUCCCUGGCUCCUCCCGACCUGGUUUAGGUGGGAAUGGGAGGAAGAGUCCUUACCCGCUGCUGAGAAUUCAGGGGGAAGACCUGGACCUUUCCCCUUGGCCAGGGGAUCUGCUUCAAGGCUGGUGUGCUGGUAGCAGGGCAGCAGGUCUUCGGCUUUCCUUCAAGCCAGCUAGAGGGUGAGCCCUUAGUGUCUUGCAGGCUCCAUACCUGUCACUGGCAGGAAGUAAGUAGCUUGGCCUGAGGUUUUUGCUACAAGAUCUGCCCAACCAGCUUUUCUGAGGCAUGCAAAGACCUGGGUGGAGCUGAGGUCCUGGUUUCAACUCCUUUAUGGAUCUCCCCUGCAGAAACGAUGCCUUCUCCAGAAAGAUGAGUUCUAGGAGUGAAGACUUCAACUCCCAUAUUCCCCUUGUUCCAGAAUGACAGGUUCUAAGGUUCGAGCUCUGGUAUCCCAUUGCUCCUCCCCCUCCCCCAGGAGGAGUUCUGAAGUGGUCAGGCCAGUUGGAAGAUCUCCUGAAGUUACAUGAGGAGGGGCUGGGGAGAGCAGAGGAAAACAAGAGGGCAUGCUCAGCACCCUACCCUGAGCUACAUCCCCCUCGUCAUGGCUGCUCUGGGCACUCCAGGCUUUCCAGUCACGGCCUGGGGUAGUUCUCUGGGAUAUCUCUACCCACCCCUCUGCCAUCUCAUCAGCAGCCCGUGCUGCAGCUGACCUUUUCCUCAGACGUCUCCACCACACUCAAGCUUCGGGAAUGCACACCCCUUGAGGCAAGUCAGUCACCUGCUACUCAGUAACUGUGGACCGACUGAGCGUGUGAGUGGAGAAAGGGUGUUGGGAAACGAGUUAUGAGAAACCCAGCUGAGAGACGUGCAAGGUCGUGCAGAUGGCACGUGACGGCAGCGUGCAAUCCGGCUACUUCCACAAAGUGAGGAACACCGAUUGAGAUGGGUGCUUCGUUAGAGGGUUAGGAAGGUAACGCGAUCAGGAAAGCAUUCGGUGUGAAAGGAUGGGGACCGGAGUUUGAGCCUCAGAACCUAUGCAUGGUGGCAUGAACAUACAAGAGGGAAGGCUCUGGGGUGUGCUAGUCAGCCAGCCUCGUUGAACGUGUAAGCCCCAGCCCAAUGUUUCCAAAAGACAAGAUGGAAGGCAUCCGAGGAACAACAUUUAAGCUUGACCUGUAGACUCCAACCUCCAUGUACACAUGUACCCUAUGCACAGCAGUUCCUAGUUCAUCAAAAGGAAGCUGCUACGAUCUCUGAAGAUGGCUACCAGGGCUCAACGCCAGGAUUUCCCAAUCUAACACUUCCCGCUUCUGUGAAAGAGACAGAGAAGUGUCUGUGUUCUGAAGGAUCCCAGGAGUGCAGUCUUGACAGCUAACUGCUACUAGCUCUCAAUUUCUUUGGUCCAACAGACAAGAAAUAAAGCCAAGUGAAAAGGAAGCCAUUUUAAGAUGCCCCCUUCCCGCCCUUCCCUCUUUCUUUUUACCUACAGAUAUAAACAAUAAAAGGUUGUGGGCUCUCUUCUCCCUCCUCCCUUGCGAAUGUCUCAGUGUUUCAGUGGACUGAGUGCCUGAGAGACCCUUCCCUGAGAGUUAUCCAAUUUAUAAUUAAGACCUGUAGGCUACUGUACACAUCUAUGUUAGGAUCUCUUCAAAAUCAGCACUGGAUUGCAACGCACUGCUGGAUACUUUACUCCAAGUGCAUUUCUCUCUCUCUCUUUUUUUCCCAGACAGGAUCUUGUAAUGCAACACUGAGUGAACCAGUGCUAUGUAGUUCAAGUUGGCUUUAAACUCACAGCAAUCCUCCUGCAUCAGCCUCCUAUGUUCCGGUAUUAUAAUGUGUGCCCUCAAGCCUGGUGUUCGGUAGCUUUAUUCUGUUUCGCCUUGGCUGUCCAUCAGACACCGCAUGAGGCAGCGAUAGAAGUACGUUUUCUUGAGGUAAGAGGUAAACAACGAAGAAAUUGGUUCACAACUUACAGGGCAGUCAGUCCAAGGACAACAGGCCCAGGGGCAAAUGUAAAACAAGCAGGCAGGGCUGGGGAAAGGUUGGCAUCAUUGCAAAAGUGGUCAGCUAUAGGCUCUGUGAGGGACUGAGCAGAUAUUAACAACUGUAUGCGUGAGAGAGAGAGAGAGAGAGAGAGAGAGAGAGAGAGAGUGUGUGUGUGUGUGUGUGUGUGUGUGUGUGUGUGUGUGUGUGUGGUGUACCACUGCAGAAGGGACUGAAGUAGCAGCCAAAGAGUAUUAUUCUGCGGUAAAAAGGGACAAACUACUGGUUUAGGGAGUUGAUUCGUUUGAGAUAAUGAAGUGCGAGCUGAGAGAGUAGGAGGACCCAAGUUCAGACCCCCAGCACCCACAUUGGGGAGGAGGGCAAGAGGGAAGGAGAAAGAAUGAAUGAAUGUGUGCUAGUAAUGUAGCUCGUCGGCUCACGCUAGCCUAUGUGCCUAGCUAGCAUGGAGAAAGCCCAAGGUCUAAAUGCACUGUACUGGAAAAAUACACCGCGGUAAAGUUAAUUGCAUAAAACCAGCCAGCAGCUCAAGUAUAAAAGAGAGGCCCCUUUAUUCUCGGCAGGACCUCUUUCCCAUAAGCACCUUCCCUGGUUGUUGUGGGAAGCCCCUUCUCUCAUUUACUGGUGGGAAUUUAUGGGAGACAAACUCACCUUCCCCAGCCCUUGAGCAACCACCGGUGCUUUGCGACUCUCUGCAUCUCAGACCUUUCACUCUGCUGGUGAGAGACCUGGCCAGUGACCAGGUUUCUUUUUUAAUGAGUUUCCAAAUGUCAACCAUAAACUCAAUUAUGUGAUUAGGUACACACAGGUGCACAGGAAACUUGCUCGGCUGUGACUCCUCUGGCUGAUGUCUAAGGUGGGGUUGGUGUUUGGUUUCCAUCCAAACUCAAGACCUAUGGAGCUCCGAGUCCGGGGCCCUCCUGGUGCUUGGCCCUCUCAUUAAACGGCCGGAAUAGAAAAAGCCGUGACAACCAGCCUGGGUACACGCCAGCAGGCACAGGGACAUAUAGACUAAUAAAAUGCCAUUAUACAACUUCCAGAUGGAUCGAAGGGAUUGCUUGAAAAGUUUAGGCACCAGAAACACCUGUUGGAUGUGCUUGAGAAGAUAAUCAGGCUGUUCAGUAUCAGUUUCACUUAUCGUAGGUUUUGGUCUGCAGUGCCCCUGGCCACUGGAUGUUAGAACCAAGGAUAAGGUAAAACAGAGAGGUCUUGAGUGCGACUUCAAGAUGAGCAGUCCUACAUAUGGGCCUUGAGAUUUGACCACCAGGUAGGAGAGGCCACAAGCAGGGGCCAAGUGCUGGGUAGAAAGGUCAGCAAGCAGGCUCAACAGGGCGACAUGGACCCUGGUUCUGAUGCGGCAGCCUAAUUAUUACCUAUUCAGAGACCCUUCUCAUUCUGAAAUGUGUUCUGGGAUUGCAUGCUUCCUCGAAGACAAACGUUGGCAACCAUCUAGUGAGUCAAACUCAUAGAUUCGGGAAGCAGAAAGAUGACUGCCAGAGGCUGCGGGGCUGGGGUUGGGGGGUGGGGAACGGGGCACUGCUACUGCAGUUAACGUUCCUGAUCUGUGUUAUAGAAAGCGUUCUGAAGAUGGGUUGCACCACACGGCCGAACACACGCAACCCUCCUGAGCUGUGCAGUGAAAGCUGUACCACUCACCUGUGUUCUAUGAACUGUUAGAAUUUUGGAAACCGGGCUGGAGAGAUGGCUCAGUGGUUAAGAGCACCGACUGCUCUUCCUGAGGUCCUGAGUUCAAAUCCCAGCAACCACAUGGUGGCUCACAACCAUCUGUAAUGGGAUCUGAUGCCCUCUUCUGGUGUGUCUGAAGGCAGCUACAGUGUACUCAUAUACAAUAAAUAAAAUCUUAAAAAAAAAAAAAGAAUUUUGGAACCCUUACUGGCUAGAAUGGCGGCCCGGUCAAUGCAGUGCUUGUCUUAAAAACAUCAGGACCUGAGUUCAAUCCCCAGCACCCACACAAAAUGCCAGGCGUGGUAGUGCACACUUGAAAUCUUAGGUCUGGGGAGAUAGAGGCAGGGGGAUGUCUGGGGUUUACUGGUUAGCUAGACUUACCUAACUGGUGAGCUUUGGGCCAAUAAGAGAAUCUAUCUCCAAGGGGGUGGCCAAUGGUUUUCUCCAGCCUCCAUAUGCACAUGAAGCCUUAUGGGUAGGUGAUCCUCAAGUUCUUUACUCAGUGUGCAGUGUACCAUGUUCAGGAAGGAGGAAACUGAGGACAUCGUUACAGGGUGGGUCUUGGGGAGAGACAAGCUGUGAGCACUCUGCUUCCCACAGACAGCAGGUGGAAAAGCCCAUCUGCCCACACAAACCUAGAGGGUUAGGGCUUAUGACAAUCGCCUGGAGGGACAGCUUGGAGGGCACCCUCAGAAAUCUGGUGCCAUAGGGGAGAGGCAGAAUUCAGUAGACAGGGAAGAGACUGCAUGCUGAGACUGAAGGAGCCACUAUACGUUGGAUCUGUAUGUUUUAAAUUUUCAAUGUAUUUAUUUAUUUUCUAUUUAUGCGUGUGUGUGUGUGUGUGAGAGAGAGAGAGAGAGAGAGAGAGAGAGAGAGAGAGAGAGAGGUGUAUAUGCCGCAGCAUUCGAGUAAAAGUCAAAGGAGAAUUUUCAAGAGUUGGUGCCUUUUGUGUACUGUGUGAGUCUUGGGAAUUGGUUGGGAGUACCUUUAUCUAUUAAACCAUCUCACCCCCUUUAUAUUUUGGAUAUUGAAUGUUCCUCCAAUGGCCCAUGUGUUAAAGGCUUGGUCACCAGGGUGAUGCCACUGGGAAGCUGGCUUAAGACCCUUAGGAAGGGAACACAUUAGGUCACUGGGGGAAGCCCCUGAAGAGGACUCUGGGACUCUGGCCCCUUCUUUCCCUCUCCUUUGUUUCUCGUUGAUGAGGUUAGUGGUUUCGCUUUGCCAUGCACUUUCAGCUGUGGUUUACAUCUUGCAACAGGCCUCAAAGCAAAUGUGCUGGGGGCGGGGGGUGGUGGCUGGAGAGAUGGCACAGCGGUUAAGAGCACUGAUUGCUCUUCCAGAGGUCCUGAGUUCAAUUCCCACCAACCGCAUGGUGGCUCACAAGCAUCUGUAAUGGGAUCUGAUGCCCUCCUCUGGUGUGUCUGAAGACAGCAACAGUGUACUCACAUAUAUAAGAUAAAUAAAUCUUAAGAAAAAAAAAGAGAAAAUGCCAAUUGAUCAUGGUCUAGAACGUCUAAAGCUAUGAGCCCAGUGUUUGUUAAAGGAUUGUAUAAAGCCCUUCAUCUUUGUAAGUUGAUAAUCAUCUCUGUAUUUUGUGACAGCACCCAAAAGCUGACCAACAUGGAAUCUUUUGGGGCUGAACACGAUAAUUUCUUUUUUUUAGAAUAAUCUCUGUUUCACUUUGGUUUGCGUGCGUGUCUGUGUAUGCACACAUCCGUGUGGGUACGUGGGGGAGCCAGCAGAGGGUGUCAGAUCUCCCUCCUGGUGCUAAAGUUACAUGUGGUUUGUGAGCCACCCUGACACAGGUUCUGGGAACUGAACUUCAAUACUGGGCAAGAGCAGCAAGCGCCCUUAACCCCUGAAGCAUCUCCCCAGACCAUUGCUGUCUCAAUAGAAGCUGGUUUAGCUGCUUAAAGUGGCUAUGUGACUUUGCUUAUGUGGGAAUUACCAGAGGAGCCAAGAGACCGCCUGUGGCUUUAUCAAGGGGGUGAGGAGAGACACAUAAAGAAACGGGGUGAGAUAAAAGAGCUGUGUCCUAAUGGGUUAGAUUUUCUUCUUAGUCCAUGAGAAGUCACCGGUUUCGGUAGCCAGAAAAACAAAGUCAGUUCAGAAGUGACCGCCACUGGUUUGUGGUUCUUCUGGCACGGGUGGGACUACUGUGUACUCCCCUGCAGCGAUCUGGGCUCCAACUAUAGCAUUUGGUUUUGAUUUGCUUCCUUCCAAUUGCAUCCAGGGUCAACGGGGCUUCCAGGGUAGUGGGGAAUCUGUCUGCAGAGUUCUUCAGGAACUUGUCCGUGUCGAGGACACCGCUCUGUUGUCUGGCUGGGUGUUUAUUCGAGUGUUAUAAAUACCCGAUGUCCUGUUUGACCCCUUCUGUCCACACCAUCAAUGUGGCUAUUUAUAUGAUCUUUCUCAGUGUUGCUACAUGAACUGUAGGGCCAGGGAGGACAAGAUGUCUAGGAGACUAGGCUUUGGGACAGGAAGUGUAUGGACCCAGGGAGGCCACAUGCCACAACAGACACACCAGAUAGGGACUGACUGUCUAAUCAGAUGUGGCUUGGGCACUGGUUCAUGUGGAAAACAGUUAAAGACAGACAUGGGGUUAUCUAUCUAGAAAUUGGUGUUCUCGGUCUAGGGAGAUAGAUCAGUUGCUAAUGUGCUUUCCUUGCAUGUAUGAGGACCUGAAUUUGAUCCCCAGAACCCAUAUGGGGGAAAGGAAAGCAUGGUGUAGUAGUGUAGUAUGUUUUCAUUUCAGCACUGUGGAAGCAAAGCAGGCAGGCUUGCUGGAUGGCCAGUUUAGCUUCCAUAGGGAACUCUAGGGCAGUGAGGGACUUUGUCUCAAAAGGGGAAGGUUAAGUGUCCGAGGAAUGACACUGGAGGUUGUCCUCUGACACACGUGCGUGCACGUGCUCGUGCAUACGCAAACACACACAAAUAUGCUCACACACUCUCACACACACACAUAUCUGGAGCCAGGUAUAGUAGCACAAGCUUGUAGUCACAGCCACGUGGGAGGGUGAGCCUGGAUGAUUUAGAGUUUGAGGCUAGCCUGGCCUACACAGUAAGUUCUAAUCCAGCCUUGGUUCUCUAGUGAGCUGUUACCUCAAAACAAACACAUGAAACUGACCUAUCCGCCUGUGUGAGACAAUGUUGAAUUUUCCCUGCUGAAAGAUAAAUGAGAAUUUCCUCAAAGGUGACAGGCUGAUAGGAACUCGAGCUUCCCAGAAAAGAGCAUGAUUGAGCUGGUGCCCUGGGCAUGCUUAGAACGGUCUCCCUGUAACCUGUGGGAACAGAGGGACCCUGGAUUCCCAGACUCAAUAACCAAGGAAGAAAUGGCCUCUCAACAAAGGGGCACUGUUUCUGCUUUCCUUCUGUCUCUCAUGUUCAGUAUAAAAGACCCUAUAAUGAUAUUUGCUAUGCCAAGGGCAGGAGCACCCUCAUCUUGACAAUGGGAGAGUCUUGGAGAAGUAAGCUUACUCAAGGCGGAGAAAACUAGGUUAUAUCCAUCCUCUCUGUGCCUUUCAGCCACCUCAUCAUCACCAAGAGAGAUGCCGAGAGGCAAUGUGUCACAGCUCCCCACCCCCACACCAGUGGUGAACAAAUUCUCAUCAUUCACCUUGGCCCUGAGUGGACAUGAAGGUUACUGAUUUAAAAAGAACUUGUGUGUGGGGAGGGCCGAUGGGGGGGUGGCUUGCCAGACAAGUGCACAACUGCUGAACUACAUACAUUACAGCCCUUGUUUGGGGCAGGGUCUUGCUCUGUAGCCCAAGCUGGCCUGAAACUCCACGUUUCAUCUUCCCAAAUGCUGGGGUUCCUGGAGUCUUUCUGGUAACGUAUGUCCGUCCCCCUAGUCUGUCUCCCCGGCUUUAAGACUAGCUAUCCUUGCUGAUCCAUUGCAAGGACCUGUCCCCCCACAGGCACUGAACCUUUGCAGGCCCACUCAUCUAGCAUUCCGAUCUAAGAGGAGGCUCUUUGAUCCUGGACCAUGAAGGAGCAAAGGCUGCAAAAUUCGGAGAAUGCUAAACACAUUAACCAGAGCUUCCCCUGCUCUGUACGGAGGGUGAUGUGGUUUCCAGGGAGAACAAGCAAGUGGGCUGGAGGAGGCAAGGCACCCAGCCAGGGCCAGGCAAAGUCAGAGGCCUCUGCAGCCAGCAAAUGAGUCAAAGGUGCCCAGACAGAAGCUGGACCAAGUCAGCAAGGAGCAGCAUCCUUAUCUGAGUGACUGAGUCAUACUGCCGGCAGUCGGCUCACAGCUAAUGGAAUAUUUCCUGUAAAUAUUAUUUUCCCUUCCUGUCUCAUCAUCUAAUAGAAUUUUUUAAAAAAAACUUUACUCAUCUUGGGGGUGGGGGUGUGACAAGAAUCCAUCAAAUACCGGAGCCAGCUUCCCUGUCUUUGAAAUACUCUCAGGACUCGGGAAGCCACACUGGCUGCUCAGAGGCUGCCCAAUCACUUUGAUUCCUUCUCCUAAUGCCUCGGAAGGGACCCAGGAGUGUUCCUAAUUGUGCAUCUAAGCUUACAUAAAAGCCCCCCUAAGUGCACAUCAAAUAAAUAAGUAAACACUGCCUACUGACGACGUAACAAGGCCUGACUGGACAGUCCUUCCCACAGAAAAGCUUCCAUUCAGUACACACCCUCGAGGAAUAGAAUUGCUCAAGUGCUGGCUUAUGGCUAAUGAACGCUACCUCUGUAGGGAGGUGUUUGUGAGUCUCUUCUUUCAUACUGGGCUAUCUCAAAGCCCCACCGAGUUAGCAUUUUCUGUUUUCUUCAUAUCUCAGCUUCAGACAACCAGAGGGUCAGUCUGUGCACAGGUCUGGCAGUUUCAAAACAGAAGGAUUUCACACAAAUCCUGACGCUGGUAACAGAGUCGAGCGUUAGCCACAACUAACCCACACCUCUGCGACUGGGCCUGCUCAGAGGGGGCUGAUGGUCACGGAGAUUAGAGCAGCUGUUACUCCCUCAGGCUUUGAUCUAAGGAAUGUGGGAACCUCUUCUUUAUAGCUCCUUGUGAGGCAGACCUAUUUAUGACACCUCCCCAAGACCUUGAUCCUGUCAGCUGAAUCAAUAAGGACCACUCAAAUAUUUGAGAUUUACUUUUUCAUUCACACGUUUCAGAAAAGAAAGAAAAAAAAAUACUCUUGCUUUUAGGACUAGCAUUACUAGAGGAGUGCCGAGACAGCCAGUCGCUGCUGCUGGGUGGUUUUUAGGUUUUGACGUGUGUGAAAGUCUCAGUAGUUGACCACAAAUACAAACUAAGAGGUAGAUUGAGAUAGAUCCCCAAGGGCCAAACAUCUACCGGGCACCAUUUCAUUAAUCCCGAGGUCAAGAGCAACCUAGGCAGUGAUUUAUUUCUACACAGAUGUUAAAGGUGGUUAGCACUUGGGAUGGGGCCGGAGGCCAUAACCUACGGAGAGGCAGGAUGUUUCUUCUUUGGCCACCAUAGUCCUCUCAUUCAUUUUCAAUGCUAAACCAAGACAGAUGUGUAUACAUGUGUAUGUGAGUGUGUCAUUCCCUCCUCCGAUUCUACGUUAUGCAUAAAGGUUGCCAGGAUGACUGCCCAUCAGCAAGAGUGAUAAUAGCUGAGGGAUGUUUCCGUAUGGCUGUGGUAUGUGAUGAUUGACAGGAGCUGAAGUCUACAAGCAGGUGGAGGGUACAAGGGAAAAGUCGCUGGGUGAAGGCUGUUUCCUGAGAGUGCUUGGAGGGCAUCUGCAAGCUCACACGACAUGUUACAAUGUAUUCUCAGCAUCUUUUCAAAGUUCUGUCUCAUCUAUAAGACCUGUGCAAACAAGCAAGGAGCGUCUGUGGAGGAUGAACUCCUGUAGCAGAUUUCACUUGGUUAUUAAAUCCCGCUUGCUGCUAUUUUAGGGCAUUUGGGGGUCGAAUCUUUGGUGCCUGGCAUCUGUGCUGGGUGACUUUUGUCACCUUAACACAAGCUAGGGCCAUCUGGGAAGAUGAUGAAACUUCAAAUGAGAAAGCACCUCUAUCAAAUUGCCCAUCGGCAAGAUUGUAGGAAGUCUUCUUGAUUAGUGAGGACUAAGGAAGGGCCCAGCUUCCCGUGGGCUGUUCCACUCCUGGGCAGGUGGUCCUGGGCUGUAGAAGAAGGAACGCUGAGUAAGCAGCUUUCACCCACGGCUUCUGCUUCAGUUCCUGCCACCAGGUUCCUGCGCUGACUUCUUUUCAUUUGGAACUUCUAAUUUUUUCUGAACACGCUCAAAAGACAAAAAAAAGUCCCUAUGUGUCUUUUUGUUUCUGACAAAACAUGCUGGGGUGUGUGCAUGGGGGUGGGGGUAGUGGAAGCUAGAAAAGAAAUCUGUUUUUGUUUUGCUUUAAAUUGAAAUUUUGUUUGCUGUGUUUUGGUUUUUUGCUUGCUUGUUUAUGUUUUUGUUUUUUGUUUGCUCAUUGUUUGAGUUUUUUUUUUUUGUUUUUGUUGUUGUUGUUGUUUUGAGACAGGAUCUUGAUAUGUGGCCCAGGAUGAGAAUAUUGGGGUCAUAGGCCUGUGCCACAACACCUGACUUUUCAGACACUUUUUGAAAUAAAGUUCAGAGCUGUACUUAGGAAGAGAAGAUUCUGCUUGUUGGAGCGAUCCAGGCAGUGCAUUACCGGUUGUGAAUAGCAGGAAGCAUAACUUUUUCUUCUACCCAGGCCUGGCAGCCCCCUCACUUUGCAUUUCACCGUUCCAAAGCUGCUCAGAGUGGGACUCUGACGUAGGGUGGCUACUGAAACCAGAAUGGUGAACCACAUCUCACCCGGAGAACGAGAGCUACCGUCCUGUCUGAUUUGAGAUGGCCAUUCUCUCUGGACUCUCUGGGACUUGGAGAGACAUUUCUGACGAGCCUUGUGGGAAAACCUGUGUGGAUGCUCAGAGGUAGCACAGUACAGGAGAGCCCUCAGCCCUUCAAAGAAAGGGAGUGCCCAGCAUUGCCAUUGUCUCAACCUGAAGUUUGGCAUUCAGUACUAUGGCGCCGUGUGACAGCUGCUGUAAGUGGGUCAGAGUGUCAGCGAGGGCUUCUGCUUGCUGCUGGCUGGGAAGAGUUGCCUGGGCAGGACAGGCAGUUCUUGCCCCAGAUGACCCCAGGUACUUAGAUCUUGGCACUGAUCAUCUCCUUGGCAUCCCUGGAGGCUUUAGGUGUUGGAGAUGAACUGGGUCCCAGUGCCAGAAGGGCGUGCUACCGCCUGGAGGCCAUCCCUCGUGGAGCUCACUCACCAUCCUGUGCUUGGGAACAUUCCAGCUCUCACCCCUAGGGACGCAGCCACAGCCUGACCCCCCCCUCCCCCCCCAGCCUGAGCUCAGGAAGCACAGACCAUGGCUAUCUCCAGACACCCUCGGAUAUCCUUGCAAUGCUUCCUACGUGCACAGUGGAGGGUCACAGAGACUGGGUGGACCCAGAGAGUUCCUGACACAUGGUGGUCUGGAGGCACCAAGGAGGGACUUGGAUCACAUUAUAUGCAAACGUGCUGUGUGCUGUGCUGGGCAGGUGUGUACACCUUUAGCUUGAGCUCUGAUGCUCCAAGCUGCUCAGAGCCUCUCCUAUUUUUGUGAUGCUAAUGAUGUCGAGUAAAAAGAAAAGGACUCUUCCCCUGUCUCCCCACAGGCAGGAUUUCACAACUAUGGCUCCUGGUUCACUCUUCAGUUUGGCCCUUGAGUCCAAUUAACAUUUUAGACACAUGGGUCACCCCAAAGCUGAUGAAGAAGAGGUAUCACUUGACCUGAGGGGGGGUUGAAAGAAUGGUUCCUAACUUCAUAUUCAGCAUUUAUUUCCCAAGGACCCCCAAAUUGUACCUGAGCCCACACGAUCAGCAUCGGACUGAUAUCCCAAGGACUUCUGUGAAUGCCGGCGACUUUUCUGGGAUUCGGCUCUCUGUCUUUCCCUCUCCAAUGUUGCUCUGUUGAUAACUUUUGUUUUGUUUUGUUUUGUUU